rnacentral:lncRNA from 1 species
UUCUUGUUGCCAUUAAAAUGUUUGUGGGUUUAUCAUAUUUGAUUUUCUUUAAAUUAAUUUAUCGUUGUUUUGAAAUUGUAAUUUGUAGUUCCAAGAUCGAAUUUAUGCCAAAAAUAAUCAACGCAAAAAUCAAGAUUUUCUCAAAAUAAAAAAGAAAAUAAGAACACGAGAGAUUUUUCGGCCAAAAGGCCUCGGAGGUUUAGUGAUCGCUUCUAACGCUUAGUCUCCCAUUGAGCAUCCAUAAAGGAUUAAGCUCAAAUCCACUAAAUCGGCAAAAAUAGGCAAAGAUCAAGUUACAGAACACAAAAUUCACAAAUCACAAAUACAACAUAAUCUUCCCACAGUAGAACUCACACAAGAGUUUCUCUAACGAUUCUCCCAAAAUCACACUAAGUAUUGUCAGAGAAAUCAAAAGAUUCGGACGAAGAAGAUGAAAGGCACGUAGCCAAGAAAAGCCUCAGAAUACUAAUCGUUAACCCUAAAAAAUCUG